rnacentral:pre_miRNA from 7 species
CUAGUUACAUCUGAAAGAUUCUCGAAUUCCCGGCCAAUGUACCAAAUGAAAGACCCCCGAAGGGAGACCCUCACUCAGACCACUCAAGUCCCGGGACAGCCGCGUACCCAAGAAGACACUGAGACCA